UAUUGCUUCAUUGUACUUGCACUUUUUUAAAUUGUCACAUUUUUACUAAAAGAUAUUAGAUCACUUUAGCACGACUGUAUAGUCACGAGUUAUUUUUCACUUUUAUUAUGUAUUAACCCUUUAACUACGGGUAAAAAGACUAUAUAAGUCGCUUAUUGACGACUGCCGGAGUUAAAGGGUUAAUCAUCCUACUAAAAGUCAAGCAAUGUUCGAUUUGCUGCUUGUUCGAUAUGGAUGCUAUGUUGUUAGCUUCCCUAAGCUAUAUAGUAUAUUUUAAACCUUAAGUUUAGCAUUAAAACCCACUAAACGGCGGAAAAAUUUGAAUUAAAAGCGCAGUUAUAAUUGAGGUAAUAUAAAGGCAAAAUAAAGAUAAAGGCACCAAAUUAAUUUGUUCAUCUAAUCCUAUUUCACUGUGAUGCAUCGUACCUGAGCACGUAAACUUUAAACCAUAGUAUAACUAGUAGGGGCACUCUGUCAUUUGUUUCGCUUUGCGUCGAUCCCUUCUGCGCAUCGCCAUGUUUUUGCGACCAAUGAGACAAUUGUUGUGUGUGUAGUAGUGUAAAAUCAGUGAGUGUGUGACACGCUUUGACGAAUCAAACGCUAGAUGACUUAUCGAAAAUAAUGGCAGACCCACUAAAUGGCGGAAUACUACGUGAUCGAGAACGAAAAGAUCAAAGGGCCGACAGAGAGUGACCAUACUGGUUAUAUUGUGCUUUAGACAAUCUGAUUGGUUAUAACUUUAAAUGUUCUAAAAACUUCAAUGUUUUAAUAUAACAAAACUUUUGCAAAUCCAUAUUUUUCAAGAAUCUACUACUAUUUGAUAGAUAAUCCGCAAAGUCUGGAACAAUACAAAAUUUAGUAUUCUAAUAUAAAUUUAAGCUUGAAAAUCGUGGCUGUGCUUAAAGUUCUUUUGUUAUUCAAGGAAUGGAAGGAUUUCUGUCUAGUGAACAAAAUGUAAAUUAUAGAAUUUUGAAAUGUCUUCAAAAUUUACGUUUCUAUAUUAUUUCUCGGUGAUAUCUUGUUGAGCUACAACGUGCAUAUAGAGAAGUGUUCGUUACACGAAGGGCGAACAUCCGACAGCUGCAUCUUGCCGUUGCGUUUGCGUCGUGCGGUGGCACGAUGUGCCUACACUUGCAUUAGUGCAAUGAUGGUCUGUCAUGGCGUGGUAGAGGAGCAAGGGGAUGUUCUUAAAGUAAAAGAGAAGGAUAGAAGAAGAAGGGGGAAAGGAUUUCUUUGUCCUCAUCAAGGAUCUUACGGCAGUACUGACCUGUUUCGAGGCAAUGGCGUAUUGCCUAAAAUUAUCGAGUAUCCUAUAUUGCUGCAUAUAUGUAAUUUCUUUGAAAUAUGCUGCUUCGUAUAGUAAUAUUAUAAUAUUAUUUAACAUUAUUAAAAAUUGUAUGCAUGAAAACCUGAUAAUCAAUGUAAUGACAAACAUAAUGCAAAUAAGAAAUGAUAAAAUAGAAUAUGAACUUCUAAAAGCAAUAACAACUUGUUGCCACUGAAAAUUUAUACCGAUCUGUAAGUUUUCAAGUAAUUAUAGUUUAAAAUCCUACGCUAUAUAUUAAACUGUAGUAAAACAAAACGAAAAUUUACAAAAUUAAUACAGAAAAUCUCUCUUUAAAAUUUCAGAAACUUUUUCUCUGCAACAAUAGAUGCUGUCACGCAUAAAUAAAUGUUUAUUAAAUUUUUAUAUUUGCAUAAAUGCAUACAUUCCUGUUUCAAAAAUCAUCUGUAUCUGGUAAAUUGUCUAAAUCUGCUUCAAAGAAAUAACGUUGCUACGCCAUUGUGAACUUAUUUUUCUCGCGAUAUAGCAAGGGGCCCGCCGAAACUAGCAAACUGGCCCCUUGCAGCCCUGCUGCGUUGCUGCGGUUAACUUCUGCCAUACCUCGACUCCAUCUUUUGUAUUGUUGUUACACCCCAUCGCCAUUUUUUUGACAGGUACCAAUGUGCGUCCUCCUACGUAUGUAUCUCUUAUGUAGGAGGGAUUAGCGUGUAAAAUUGGAACGUGUGUACCUGCUUCUCUACAAGCCCGCAAGCGCAAUCAAGCAGAGGAGACUCAGUGGGGAGGAAGGGAGGAACCUCUUUCACUCCGUUCAUUGGUAUUUUAUUAUCGGCAUCGUAGUCGACCGAGAUACUUCGUCCUUCGGACAGACUAUUAAGCCCGGGGAUGAUAAAUUUUUAUAAAGCUAUUCCGUCGUUAAUAGUCACUUACUUUCGGUCAGAUUCUUUCGAAACCUGUUUUUUAGUGGGAUCAGUGGUAGCGCAUGUGCGACUGGUACAUGGUACUCCAUGACCAGUCGAUAUAUCUCUACACGCAAAAUCUACUUGCUGUCGAAUUAUCGAUUCAGUUUUUUUUUCAUUUUUUUAGAAUGCUUUGCUCCGCUGGACUUUUGACGUUUAUAAUUAGCGAGGCAUGAAAUAUUAUUAUUUGUCGAAUGAAAUUAUUUUUUAAAUUACUUUUUUAAUAUUUACUUUUAAUUAUACAUUUAAUAUUUUAUUUUAGAACAUAUUACAAAGCAAUGGAUGAGAGUUGAGUUGAAAAUGAAUUUUUAUAAAACAAAAUUUUCUCCAUUCAAUUAUGUUUUCAAUAACAUGAAGCAAUUAAUUUUAUUAUCAUAAUAUGAUAAUGAAAUUAAUAUUUCUUAGUCCAUUGCACAAAUUGUACAUUGUACAAAUGAUCAUUCAGUCAUUAAAAUAUUUUUCCGAAAUGAUUUGUUUUAUUAUUACAAAAGCUUUUGAAAUUACACUUCUGAAAAGCAAUACGCAUUUUUUAUUCUUCAAAGUAACCGACUUUAAGAAUUUAUUUCACAAUAGGUUUCAAAUUAUGCCGGUGCAUAUACCUAUUCCAAUUUCUUUCCGAAGGGAGUAGCCUUUUUGUUAUUGGUUAACAAAAGUUAAAACUAACUAAACUGAAAUGGAAAUGCAGCCGAUUUUUGUCCGAGUACUUGAUCGAUGAUUUAGAAAUGUUCUCAAAAGUUAAAUUUCGAAUGCAUUCUUCCAAAGGGACCACAUUGUCAUAAAUCUCAAGUAAUACCUGAGUCUUACCUGAGGGCGAGUCUUCCGCACCUUCGAAGUAGAGAUUUUGCAUUUUUGAUUUGAGAUAAGGAUCUCCCGUCCGCGCGCGUCGAACACCGCGAUGGCGUUUGAUGAGGGGCGACAGGGUGCGCGGCAGCGUGAAUGUGCAGCGAAUCUUUUUCUCGUUGCCUCUCUCUUUACACCUGUUUGAUCUCUGAACGCGCAAGUCUCCCGCGCUUCACGACGCUUCAUCUCUCUCCUUCUCUCUCUCUCUCUUGUUCAAGACCGGCGUGAGAAUACCUGAGGAUACAGCGAUCGGAAACUGUUUUGUUGGAAUUACCUUCGGAGAAACGAAAAUACGAUUGAGAAUGAAAGUGACAUAGUAUAGGAACCUGCAGGGAUUCAUUAUCUUUAGGUAACGUGCGUAAUAUAUUUAUACAACAACCAAAUUUAUCCUGACUAUUAGUAUCCAGCGAUAUGAAUAAAUAAAUUUAGAUGUAGUAAUUAUUUGGUAUUAAAUACUUUAAUCAGAGCCUUGUGCUGGCGCAUAUAUCUAUUCCAAUCUUUCUGCAGGGAGUGGCCUUUUUGCUAUUGGUUAACAAAAGUUAAAACUAACUAAAGGGCGUGAAACUUGUACACCUUCUGUGCCAUUGAAAGCACGUUGAUGUAAAAAAGGGGCUGCAACCUCUUGAUUAACUCGUGUAGAGAUCAACGCUGAUAACUUCAAAAAUUGUGCGAAUGUGUUACCACUGAGACAUUUCGUUGUACCACGAUGGAAUGCUGUACUUUAACGUGGACCAAUCUCUCGCGAGCUUCCAACGUUCUUCACGGAUCACCGUUUCUUCGAUGAACCCACGAUGAAUUCCUCUCAUGCCUUCACCCAUCGGAAGACGCGGUAAUGCAAUCUCGGUAACCAAUAGCGUUGUCGGUUGGCGGGUGAUUCCCCCACUAUGGACCGAGUGGGGCAACAAGUUCAGAAGGCCCGAAAAUAUCCACGAAGCGUAAAACGUGGCUUCUAUACACGUAUACACGAGUAUAUAGGCAUCAACGUAUAUAGGGUGUGCUGUUUAGCCAGUACAUGCGAGCAAGAUGAAGAAAGGGAUGAAGAAAUAGGAGAAAAAGAAUGAAAAAAAAGAAAAGAGAAAGAAAAAUAAUUAACACUAUGUUAAAUUUAACUGUCAAUUUUCGGAUGUUAAGAGGAAUAACGAUAAGUUUAAUAUAGGUUCUGUUUUGUCUAUUAAAUUAAUUUUUUAAAAAAGAGAUUAUUGUUAUAAAAAUCAUAUGUAAAAGAUAAGGCAUGAUUAUCGACAUUAAAUAUCUGAAUAUCUAUAAUGUCAAUAUAUAAGUAUACAAGUACGCUUGUAUCAUGAUUUUAUCACAAGUCAUCCCCGGUUAUACACAAUGCAUAUGGACGGAAGCAUAAACUGUACAGUAUUAUCUUUGUGUGCGUUCGGGGUUCUCUCGUCAGUUAAAGUGGACGAUGCGGUCCGAUUCACAAUGCGGGCGCUAAUGUCCACUUACCGCGUAGGGGCCACCGCAGGCCUUCUAGGACUAUUCGGGUGUUUUAGUGCUUUACAGCAGGCCAUAAUAUCUCCUUUCUUGGGCUAAGUCAGGUAGAGGAAUACCCAAGAUCCCAAGAUCACACGAUUCGAAACCGCGACUUACGAUACCCUAUUGCGCGAGCGUAUUUAAGCGCGCAUGUCAAAAGUUAUAUUACUUUAUGCUUACAUAUAAAGAUAUUUACGAGACAGCAUUUUUCGACGGCUAUUCUAUUUUCACAUUUUAGUUUUUACCCAAGAAUCUUAGAAUAAACUGGGUAAACUGGUAACAAAUCCAAGAGCAGUAAAAAAAUAAUCGCAAGGGAAUAUCUUUUAGAUCUCUACUAAAAACAUUUGCUAAUAAAAUUUGCUAAUAAUUUAUUAGUGUAAUAAUUUAAGCAACAUGAAAUAAACUUCGAUUCAUUAUUCAAGCAUUACAUAUUCCAUGCAGCAGAGUGAUUCUAAAAGAACCGCGCAAUGUGCAAGCAGCGCGUGUUUGAAUGUCAAAGGAGGAGAGAUACAACAGGAUUGAUUAUGCGCCAGUGGAUCGCACCUGCGAAAUAAUGAAGCGCAUAAUGAGAGGUUUUUGACUCCAGUUUCCGUUGAUUUGCCGAUCGGCUACAAAGUGCUCAUUGGGUGGUCUCUCAUUACGACCGUUUUCUCAAUGACUCCAUAGCGCAGUUGGUCAGAAACAUAUGGUUUCUAACCGUUGAUUCACGAUGACUGGCCCCACAGAGGGCGGUAUUGUAUAACUGACGAGUGAUUUUUCAUGGGAGCAGUUCGUCAAAAAAUUCACCGCCGUUCCGCAAUAUUAGGUCUCGACUUUACAAAAACACCGCUUAAUUCGGAGUGGGCUAUUAGUUCGAUGAUUGCAGCGAUGAUUUGAGUUUCCAGUGUUUCUAUCCGGGUCGAAAUCUCAUUUCUACAUUCGAUUUAAAUUUCAAUAUUCUAAAAUAUUAAGAGGAAUAUAUUAAUACUUAGUUUAAUAAACUAUGUUUAAUGAGUUUAACUUAAAUUUCAUGAUGUCCAUUAUAUACUUCGUAUUAAUAUACUUCGUUUUAAUAACUUCAAGGAAUAAUAAAUCAUGCGAAGGUACUUUGUCCAUUUCGACCACAUCCUCUGCUUAUCUAUUCUCGCGUCACUCUCGUUUGAAUAUAUUAAGACAGGGUUAAAACGACGACAGAAACAAAACCAAUAAUCACGCACGGAAACGCCUUGGGACGGAAUAUCGGUCUACAUUUCCGAAGGAGCAGUUUGAGACACUCGUUGAACGGUACGGAGUAGUCCUCAAGGAUACUCCUGGUACUCCCCUCGCUCUAAUAACCGGUGGCUCUCACGGAAAGGGGUAGCUUUCGCAGUUCCAAUCGUACGGGCGGAGGGAGCUGAUAGGAUGAAAGAGGGAACAGAUAGACCAGGACGAACUGUGCGGUACAUGGCGUAGGGAUACUGGCAAUUAUCAUUUCUUGUAGGAGCCGGCCGCGUCGUCACAGACACACAGGCGGUUUUGCAACAUUCGGACCCUCAUUGUGGCGUGGUUCCUCUGCUGCCUCCGUCUCUCGUUCUCUUCUAUCGUCAGUCUCUCCUUCCGUGCGCUCUCUUGCUCCUUCUCUUUCUUUCCGCCCGCUCCAUCCUGCGUACGUUGAAACAAAACGAAGGAGAUGCAUGGCGCGCUCUCAAGGAUAACGACUAUGAGGCCUAGUCGAGAAGCUAAGCCGGCGGCCAUAUUGCGGACAAUUGAAACCGUUGCAACGCUCUUCGCGGUACUUGCAGCUGCGACAACUCCAGAGGCUUGGUGUAUCACGCACGUCGUAGCGAUGCGAACGCAGAUGCGCGUCGCCCGGGGGCAAUUAAUGCGGGCUCACGUACGUCGCACCCGGAAGACGGGAAUUGCGGGCAAUUAGAUACGUCCCGAAGAAGUGAACAUCAUGCCGCGGAUCUUGCGACCCGAAUCAAAGCUUCUUUUAUGAUUUUAUUGUUGAAAGUUAUAACGAUUAAUAAAGAUGUCAACUUCAAAAAGAGGACUUUUAGACUGAUGUUAUAAACUGAUGAUUUAUUUUGUUGCAGUAUGAAUAUGAUAGUACAUCCGGUUAUGAAUUUUUGUACAAGGAAAUUAAUUGUCAAAGUAUAUGAGUUACAUACACACAUACCUUACAUGUACAUUUGCAAUAUAAUAGACAGAUAUAAAUUAGCAAUAACAAGAGAGAGGAACAAUUAUACACAAUUUCGAAUUUUAUUGCUAUCAGCUUUUCUUGAUAGCAAUUAAUAUUACUUGCUGUAAGAAAUUUUUGUUUAAAAUAAAAAUGCAUAGAAGAUAAAAUAUCUAUAAUUUCAUAAAAGUCAGAUUCUACACGGCUAUCGAAAUAUUUUUAUUCAGCGCUGGCGGACAAAAAUGUAACCAGUUACACGACUUUCACACACCGGAUCGAACAAAGAAUGCAUUUGGCGCAUUUAGAAGCAGGACUCUUUGAAGACGAGAGGAAGGGGAACUUGGUAACCUGAUGCCUGGCAACGAUGCAAGUUCACCACUAAUAUUUGGAGCUAUGGAGUGGGGAAGGUCGUGUAUGUGGCACGAUGGACCAAUCAACUAUGUGCAUACUAAGCACAUCUAGAAAGAGCAACUUGGCGCAAUAGAAUUCUUCCAACUGCACACACACACAUACACACAGUGACAAUUAUUAUUAAUAUUUUCAUAAUUUCUAUAAUAUCAAAUAAAUGUUCAAAGCUCUGAUUAUAAUUACUAAAAAUAGAAAAAUCUAUAAAUAAUAGAAAAUUAAAUAGUUAAUCGGUCUUUUCUAUCCGAUAUGUUUGCGUGUGUUUGUUUAAUCUAAUCUGAAGUUACAACUGAUAAUCGAUUUAGUAAAUCAGCCUCAAGCAUUUCAAAGUCGCACGUUUGUUGCAUCGCGGCGUGCGUUACACUCGCCUAAAAGCGCGCGGAUUAUCGGCGAAUCUUUACGAUCACCUCUCGUAACAGUAACGAUUAUCCGCGAACAUAAAAAUCCACCUCCACCCUACGGAGGAAAUAAAUGUAAAUCCUCGAAUAUUUUAAGAUGGCGCGGGGAGACCACGGAUCGGGCGUCGCCGGUAAUGGAACUUCGACACCGUCGAGGUCGGCUGCGUUGGUAGGGAGAUGCGGUGGAGUGGGCCUCACCGAGCGUAAAGGACUCGGGCGGGCCGAGCAGGACCCAAAAGUCGUCCUGCAUGGUCAGAGGGUCCAAUCUCAUUUGGUACUAGCAUGCCUUGCUCACUCACCUCCGGGCCUCGAAUUACUGACUUCGCUCUUUCCCUUUCUCACUCUUCCCCUCUGUCUAUCUCUGCGUCCCGCUGCAUCCUCCGUAGAGUCGUCUCUUUGCAGCAUCCCAUCCCGCUUCGAUGUUGAUCAUUAUCGCCAGACAUUCCGAGAUGCGCCCGCGGUGCAAAUGCAGCAUUACCAGAUGCAACAGUCUUGGCAUCAGUGUUUCUAAUUUGAAGGAGAAUAGAACAAUACGAAUAAGUAGUCUCAAGCGGUCGUUACAGUUGAGGGGCUGCAACUUUCCUGGAAGAAUCGAUGCUUUCCUCUCAUUUGAUUGGGCCAAUGUCUGCGAUAAUUAUUGUUCGAAUGAAUUUGAACGGAAGCAACGACAAGAAAUAUUUAGUGUAAAAUUGUUGCACCUUUUCGAGCAAUGAUUGAUGCUUAUUUUCUGUUUUUGUUCUGAAAGAGAUUUAAUGAAUACAACAUCAUUUCUUUCUACAUAUAACUCGUGCGUAUGAUUCUCUAUAUAUGCAAAAUUAUGAAAAUAAUGAUCUCUGAUUUUGCGUUUAUUAUAAUCAUUAAUCGAAUAAUAAUCUGCGAUUGGGCGAUUGUUCGCUCCGCGCUAGGACCGUGCUAACAAAAUUGACUGGAAAUGAACUCCCGAUUGGCCUCAUCAUCGUCGACUCAAGAAGCUUUAUCCGCACGGCUCGCCUAACAACGCCGACGCUUCCGCACGUUGCUCAUACGCUAGAGAAGCCGUGUACGGUUUCAAAGAAAUGAAAGAAACAGAAGCGUCCGACGUUGAUGAAUGAAGCUGAUGAAUCAGAUAUCUCCUGUGAGUAUCCUCGAAAGGCCUUUCUUUACGAUCGCGGGCGUCAAGAUAAAUAGGUCCUCCUUUUUAUUUCGCUUGAUAUACCCAAGGCAGCUAUUCGGCCGCCGGUGUAUGCCAGAUCGAACGCCUGGGUUGACUGCGCUUUCGAGAUCCUCCAAAGGAUUCGAGUUUUCGACCAGCAACAACGUGGAUGAUAACGGAGUACGGACUCCGACUUCCAGUGGAUAUCUUUAUCUUGGUUCAAGAAAAUCGCAAAUUGAUUCCACUUAUAAUCUGUCAUGAUAAAAUAGCAUCAAGGUUAAAAUAUAAUAAAGAUUUUUUUAAUCAAACGAACAGAAGAAUUAUUUAUUUGAUAAGACGCGAAAUUCUUUUAGUCAGUGCAAGCAUGCAUUUGAUCUUUCAUAUCGCAUGGUAGUUACAUAUCUACUAAUCUCAAUGGACGAAAAAUAGAACAUUCAAAAGAGGUGCAGUUUUUCUGUUUGCAAAAUGUACAAUGUCGUGUGUAGGAGUAACGAUAAUUUCUUGCACGCGACAAUUUGUCGAAUACGAACGGCGGGGACCACGGGAAAUUAUACGGCGACAAUGCCGCGCGACGAUAUUUUGCGCGAGCAUUCAAAACUUUUGCGAUCAUUACGAUCGAUCGUACUUCUCGCGAUUCAAUCUGCCGUGCGAAUUAUCGCGUGUCCAACGAUAACUCGCUACGCUAUUCGCCGGCGUCCUAUCACGCGGGUAUCUCCACUAAUUGGGAUUUCGCAGGAUCGUAAGUUGGUCCGUGCAAGAAAAAAAAAUGAAAAAAGAAGAAGACGGUGGCACGGGAGAGGGCGUGGGUCCUAGCACGGUAUGACGCGAUAAUGCGGUUCGGUCUUCGUUGAGAGGGAGGGAGGGGGAUCAAACGGGCGUGAAAAAGAGAGAAAGAGAGAAUUGGACGCGCGAAUAAGAAGAAAAGAAAUCAGAGGAGGUGACGGUGAGGAGGAAGAAGAGGGGCCGAGUGGUCCUGCCACACUGACCUUGACUAGGCCCGAAGUUGAGGUGGGUUGAGGUGCUGCCGGGCCCUCUUGUCGCGUCCCCCUCCUCCUCCCAUCCUCUUGGGAUGUUCCCUCUUGCGCCCCGCGGCACUCCACGCGCACCGACGGGCCCCACCGGGCCUGCCCUGUAGUUCUGCAUUCGCAGACUCCUCCAUCAAGGACAUCACAAAAAGUACAUUAGACGAAAACACGUUGCCAUUAUACCGCGGCGCACCGCGAGAGAGGAGAGCGAAAACGCUAUGUCUGCGCUGAGGCCGAUGUGCACCGACACUGCGGGCCCAACGGCCCGCCAUUCGGGCCCCCGCAACACCGCCAAAAAGGCCCACGGACAUCUCCCCUGUCUCUCUCUACGACUACGCCUGAAUUAGGUCGCGCUCACGACUCCAUCGUAUUAUUUGAUAAAAAUUUCAUGAAGAGAAAAUUUAUUUCUGACAAGGUGAAUAUAAUAUUUGUAUACGAUUUAGAUUUUUACAAGAUAAUCUUAUGCAAAACACCGAGCCAAGCGUAAAGCAUUAGUUUUAAAGCAAAGAUUACAUAGAUAUGAAGUAUUAAACGAUACAACAUAUAACAUGUAUAACAGUAUUCAAACUGGGACUUUCACGAUGAAACUGUGAUAGAAUAAUAUUCUUUCUUUUAAAACAGAAACACUUAUGCUGUUAAAGGAAACUGCAGCAUUCUAGCAGAUCAAACAAUUAGGUUUUAUCUGAAAUUACGAAAUAUAAAAAAGACAAUACCGGAGUAUGAAUCGACUAAUAUAAUUAAUAUGUAACAUCGUUAAAAUUUACAGUUGCACAUUUCAUUGACAGACGCAGAAAAAAAUCGCAAGGUGGCGAAACGCGCCUUAACUACUGCCUUUACUUCUGACCCUCACACUGCACCUCACCACUCACUCUCUCAAGAUCAAGGUCAGCUCUUGGGAGAUGACUGGACUCUUUAAGCGACGUACCUUUUCUUCGUUAUCCGCUACGUUUCUCACUCCGACAUAUACAUAUACCGGGCCCUACUGUAAGAGUAUCUUGCGGAAACACUUGUGCGAGACCGCGUAAUGCGAAUUUUAACACGCAACCUCGUGAACAAGACGGAAAAUUUAUAAUCCAUAACGGAAUGCAUUAUUAUCUCGAAACUGUCUGCAAUUAUUAUAGCCACAGAAAUUCAAUUGUCAUGAAAGUAGUAAUCAAUUAUUGAUCACAAUGUAUAGCAACGACAUCUGAAUAUUUAUCGUGAUUAUGUAUGAAUAAAUAUUCAUGUGAUAGGAAAACAUGAAGCCACGAAUUUGCCACGUUAGAAACAGCGAUAAUUUAUUAUCAAUUAAAACUUUCUUCUUUCUGAAAUAGAAUCGUUUAAUCGUCGCGUCUCAGUUCGUUGCGACUUUGCGAACGCACGAUCGACUUCCAGUUUCUCUUCGCAGCACUUUCUCAGGUUUGGGCGUGAGAGGGCAACGCUCGUUUACGAAUCUAAACGCACGUAACGGAUAAUUCACGAUAAUUUCGAUGAGACGAAGCAUCGCGCUACCGGCAGUAACCAGUCGAAGCUGGUUCCCGCUUAAAGCUUUCUCCAAAGCGACCAUUAAGUGCUUACAGCGGCUGUGGCGUACCUAAUCCUUAAUGCAUACUUAUACACACGCUCCGCAUCAUCUGUGCACGAUUCAACGGAUUUAUUAUCUACCUCGAUGCUAUAUCGCACGUGGGCGGCCCGUCGUCGCGCAUCGACUUACCUUCAUAAGUCAGCUUGAUACGACAUCAUAUUUCUGAGCGAUUCAAUAAGCUUGUUCAAUGCUAGUUACGAGUAACGAAAUUUCGUUUCUCGUAACUAUCGAUAUAUCGCAACUUACAUUAAAGUGCGAAAAAGUAACGCAUUUUAUUUCCGAUACAAUCUUUUACUCGAAAAAGUUGGUGUUCUAGUUUUCAUAAUUUUUUAGUAACAGAGUUACACGCGUGUGUCUUUCUCUUUAACUGUUUCAAACUUUUCAUAAUUUAAAGCAUUAAAUACGUAUUUAUAAUCUGUAUUCUUUGUAUUCAAGCUCAGAAGACUCGCAGUAAUCCUGCCCGUAAUUCGAUUCUAUUCGCUGUAAGCAACAAUAGCAGGACGUUGUUGUCGCUAUAAUAUGCAUAUUUGUGGGCAUUAAAAUUUUUUUUGCUUUGAAGAACUGAAAACAUAAUAAAAAUAUGCAAAGUUGUCUGGCGCGACGUAGGUUAAUUGUAUUAUUUAGAGACAGAGUGAUUUGUACCGCGAGGAAAUACGGAGAACACAGACGAGUUUCCUUAUAUGGCGUCACGCGUUCACCUAUAUAUCCAUAGUUCGUCUCGAGAAAGUCGAGCCGUGUGCCUGACACGUAUUAUUCACCUACGUACGUAUGAAGUAUUUAACUACGCAAUAUCUUAAUAACAGAUUACUCUGUGAGUUUCAACUUAUCGCCUUCUCAGCAGGAAGACAAUUUCAGGAGACAAUUAAUUACCGAGGGAUUUCACCCGAAAGUUUAAGGGUGUCUUACCGAAGUAGAGUUAAAACUUCCAGUUGUUUACUUAUUCGGACCGAUUUCUCGUGCAGUGAAACGGCCGUGGAAAACAAAUCCAACCGGAUUUCGCGUACUGCGUCCGAUGAAGCUGUCGAGUUUCGUGGCGGGACAGUUCCGUUGACAAAUGAUAGACUCGGGAGCUGUUAGACGGAUCGAUAGCCGCGCGUCAACCUGUAAAUAGAAUUGAUAAAAUGCCCAGUCAUUCCCGACGAUAGGAUGACUCCGCCGGCGUCAUUACUAGUGCCAUCGCGUGUGCGUGUUUCUGCGAUGAUACACUCGAGAUAUUCUCAGGCCAUUGAAACGUGUCUCCCAUUCAGCCGCGGUGACUUCAUUACGGCACUCCGCGAUCUAUGCAGUUUGCAGAGAGUUAACGAAACCGCAUUUGUGAUUCUCACGACGGUAUCGCACCUGCGAAUAUUAUACCUGCGAAUAAAUUUUAAGUCUUUCAGUUGUGCCGAGAAUGUGAUAUAGAGCUACUUUAAGAAAUGAAUAGCCAAAGAAUUAUGAACAAUUUAAAUCAGCACUUAUGCCACGCUAGAUUUCACGUUAGAUUCGUGCGUAUCUCUAAAUCCAGUUUAAAUUUAGUCGUAAUGAACGUUAGGCCACCCAAACUGAAAUCAUGUAAGUGCGAACUUUUAACGGGGUAUACCUACAUCCGCUUUCCAGAAAGAUACUGUUAAGUUCGCACGCUCAGUUGUGUACGUGGUGAAUUGAAUUUUACAAGAAAAUAUGUAAAACAUAUACCCGUAGGCGUUGUCCACAUUUCGAGUAUAACUCAUAGCAAGUCCUUGGCAUUAAAUAUGUAAAUGCCUGGCGAUUGGCAACGCGGGCGUUUAAUUCGCCGGUGAAUCGCCAAUCGCGCGAGCAUCUCAUCAAUUGGAUUUCGAAUAGCGUUCCAUGAAAUCAUUGGCCGGUAAUUAGGUUGCGCAUAAUGACGACGGCCAGACAAACAAGGUUCGUUUGUGCGCAAGAGGCGGACGCGACGUUCGAUUAAAUUAUUAUUAAAGGUUGAUUCGCGUAUUUGCGCGCACACGCUGCACCAUUUACAUGAAUAAAAUUUAUGGUUCGUCGUUAAAAUGAAGGAGAUAACGUCAUUGUGCAGCCGAUGUAGAAGAGCAAUCAGAAUUCAUAAAAACAGAUGUAGAAAAUGGAAUAUCUAUUUAAUUAAUUCACGAUUAAUACCUCAGGUAAAAAAACUUGAUAAUCAUGAUGUCAUGAAAGAAUGGAAUAUUCGAGUGUUCAAAACAACGCGAGAAUUAUAUUUGCGAUAAAAAUGCGAAUAAACACGUAUAUUUCUCCUUAUAUAAUUUUUUAUCAUACGCUGGAACAUCAAUUGCGUUGUAUUCAUUCCGAAAAAUUCAACUAGCUUUUGUUCUCGCGCAAAGCACAUAUGUGUCGUUGCAAGAAAGAAUAAAUGAUGCAAGUGUUGUUAUUGUACUUGUGAAUCAGGUUUUAUCAGUACUAUAACAUAUUAUAUUUAUUUAUGCAAUACAUUGCGAUGCGAAUACAUUUUUUCAACUUGCUGACAUUCACAAAACUGCACGGUUGAUACGCCUGAAAAUAAUUUGAAUACGUUACAAUACGGAUUAAUACGGUUUUUUUUUUACGAUUCCCAGUAAACAUUUUUACAUAACUGCGAUGGAGAGAUACGAAAACAGCACAGUUUCGAGUAACAAACGCGCAACAUUCUGUCUGACCUAAUGAUGGAAACAACUGCUAACUGUGAUACAGGGAAUAUAACUGUGAUACAGAGAUGAAAUGUUCGGGAGAUGGAAAGGAAAACUGAAAGCCAUUAUCGUCGUAGUUCUCGCUUGCGUAACGCGAGUACUAACGGCAACUACCACGAGUACAUACAUGCACGCGCUCGGCGUAUACACGUAUAUCUGCUUACACGUACAUGCACACCCAGGGGUCGUGUAUGUGGCACUUACGUGCCAAUGACUGUAAAUACCCGGUGCGGUUGCCGAAGUAAUUUGUACCACGCGCGUGUCCCGAGUACUCGUACCACUUACAGUAACGGAUAUCGAACGCGGAUUCCGGGUAUCCGUGGAUUCCGAAACGACUUCUGCGUGGCUUUUAGCUUCGGCGUGACGAUAAUAACAUCAUCGGUACAUCGGUUUUGCGGAUUUGCCAAGAUAUUGAAACCGUUGCUUUUAACGUUUCACUUUUCUGUGCAAUUUUCCACGAUACUUUUACUUACGCGCGUUAUAAGUGACUGCCACCGAGCGAUACGUUAUCGCAAUUUUUAAUAUAUUCCUGUCUCAUAAUCAAAACCGUUGCCUUGCGUUCGUAUAAUUCUAACAUACAAUGUAAUGGUAUUUUUUUAUGUAUUCGAAUAUCUUUGAAUUUCUAAGUCAGAUAACUAUGUAUCUUAAAGUAAGGAAAUUUGAUUAAGUAAGUAUUUAAAUUAUACCGAUGGAGAAUGUUGCCUUAUUAUGCUGCCAGGACCAGUUUAAGGUAAUUACUGUUUAUCAGUCGGCUUCGUUUGGACGAGAAAAUAUAACUUGAGAAAAUGUAACUUGGAUUUAUUCUACAGGGAAUAUUCUGGCAACGAUUAGAGAAUCGAAGUGUGAGCUAAUAAAAUUUAAGAGAUUCAAGAUCUUCGCUGAAGAAAUGAACGAAAAAUAUUCGUAGAAUAUCAAGUCGCAUAAUUAUGAACUUUUAAGUGUGACUCUCGGCAGUCUUAAUCACUUAAUCACCUUGCAAUCUUUUGGGAGAGGCUGUUGACCCAUACUGUAUCGACAGUCGAUUGGUUUAAGAGUAAUACAACUGCCUCUCUCUCUCUCUUUCCCUCUUCCUCUCAUUUAAUUAUUCCUGAUACCUACACCGAAAAAAGUAAUGAGAUAGAUCUUGUUUGUGAAACCGCUUGCUUCUUAGUCAACGAUAUUUUUAGAUCUAAUUGACGUGGUACAUUCAGACAAACCUCUCAGAAGUCCAUAUCCCCGAAAUAUAUCCUAGCCGAAGUUGUAUCUAAGCAGUCAUGCGUAUGCGCCGUAUUAGUGCGCGUGCACCCACGCGCGCACGUGAUACACGUACUCGCGUAGCAGCAGCUCGCAGGUUUGCUUUUGUGUGAAGCUCGCAUGGAGGCGGGGUCUCGGUGCUUAGAGGGCUAUAAAAAGAGAAAGCUGGACGGAAUCCUACAAUCCUAUGCACGUAUGUGUCUUUCGUGUACGCACGCACGCGUGCGUGUACAUGCACAUUGGUGUAGCGGGUGCGCCGGUUGGAUACAACGGGGCAAGUGCGACUGUAAAUGCACGCUCCAAUCUUCUUGAACCAUCUUGAUCCUCGUUUCUUAGCCGGCCCUACAUUCUUUUAAUCUCACGAUGCUGCAGCUAAGUAGACAUCGUUCCAUCCAUUAAAAACUAAUCUUCAUCUCCAUUUUCACUUUUGCCUGGAAAACGUUUGUUUAAAUAAUAAUAAUAAUAAUAAUAUAAAUUGCUCUACAACUUCUCGUAAUCAAGCUCUGUUUGCGACUGACUAUAGAAAUUCGCUCUGCGCGCAAACAUCGGGGAUCGCAAAAGGUUGCAUAUAGAAACCUGAUGAUUUCCAGCGAUUCACGUGCACGUCUGAGCAGCGCUUAUUUUCUCUACGAAUCCACGAAAUUGUCGCGCCAUUCGUAGGAACGUGUACCCCGGCGCAUGAUCGUGAUAUGAGCGUGCGAGAGAGAGGAAAAGAAAAAGAAAGAGAGAGAGAGCGAGAGGGGGAGGAAGGGAGAAAGCGCGGCUGUAAAACGCACACGACACGUUUAUUUCUAAGAGCGUGCACACGCCGCUCUUAACAGGCCGGCAUGCCGUGCGCCUAGAGCAACGACCAGCGUAAUUAUCGGCCCGACUCCCACCACGCUUGAUCUUACGAUUUACAUUAACCACGGUAAUGCCACGCCGAAACUACGGUCCGUACACCUCGACGGCAUAACGGUGACCCACAAAUUGGAUCUUUAUCCCGAGGAAGGGAAAUUAUCCGGACAGCUCCUCAUAGGAUCAGGAGAGAGAGAGAGAGAGAGAGAGAGAGAGAGAGAGAGGUGCACUUGGCGUGAGAUCUGUGAUCACGAAUAAAUAAUUCUUGUCUGUUGCCUCAUUGAUGAUAAUACGUUACUCAUAUUGAAAGACCGAUUACUCGGUCUACAUUCUAGCAAGAGAAAGAGGGAGAGAGAGGGAGGGAGGAAGAUUUCAGUGAAAGUACGGCAAUCCAAAUCUCUUUGUGGGAACUGUGAACUGGAGGAGAAAAUUAGGAUUAUUACCCUUUGAUCUAAGCUGCGCGCAUUUAUAUGAGGAAGUUAUACUCGCAAGUUAUUGAAGAAAGAGUAAAUAAUCACGAUAUCAUUUUUUCUCCUUUUAAUGCAUGCAAAUGCAUGUGGGUACUAUUUAAGACGGCAUUGUGCUCACCUAUAUUUAUCAAGUACUCCUCUGAAAAUAUUCUGAAUACAUGAAAUAUUCCCUAUAGCUUUCCGGAUAGACAUUUCUCUAGCUCUGUAUACUCAGAUAGAAUAGAUACGGAAUAUUUCCUCGAUGGAAGUCUCAAUGUAACGCGACGCUUUUAUUUACGUUCUCGUGGUCGUUUCAUUUACAUCACAAUGCAUCUCGGAUCUUGUGGACCGCGGGCGCGGGAUCAGCGAUCUUCUUUAAUUUCACCGUCAUGCUCGGAAAGACCAUUGUCGUAAUCGGGUUCCGAUCGCAGCUCCGAUUACAGUUUCGUCAAGUAUUCGCCGACUCGAGUUACGCUAUCUCCGAGAUAACCGAAUCCUCGAGCAGUCGCCGGUUGUCCUUAAUCGUUCGAUUGGAUCUAAUUCGCCUUCAUGAUCUAUCUGUGUCGUCGUUGUCUUCAUGCCGAAGGUUCAAGGUUGCGAUCGCACGCAUCGGGGCGCAUCUAAUUCGCCUCUUUGCACGCGGUAUAAUCUUUGACCGUGCCGCAAGUAAUAAUCGUGCGGCUCGCGAUACACCACAAAGAUUCUUCGCGAUCUUAUCUGCUCCCUGCCGAAACUUUCGGCAAAGGGUAUUCAGGUGUCCGCCAUCUGCCGUCUAUUCACCGCCCCUACGGCGGACUUAGCACCUUAUGUACUUUGUACACUGUGCGUGUUCACCAUCAGGACGAGUUUACUCGCCGCUCCUCUCAGUCUGCAACGUUUUUGUAGUAACUCAAAAAGUUGAGGCCAUAAAUACCGCGACGUAUCCAAGUUAUUACACGAAAUAAAAACCGAAAGUUGUAAAUAAGAUGGCGGAUGUUGCAAGACGUCGCUUCUCAAAGCGGUUUCACUUUGUGAUUUAAAUUUUCAUAAAGACCACGUGUGAUCACGUGGGCAUUUUAAUGGAUUGUCAUUGAAACUCAACAGGAGACAGGAUUAAUGAGAAAUAAACGAUUAUUGACUCAGGCAUAAUAAGAUCCAUUAUUGUAAAUAUUACUCCACUCCUAUAAUUUCGAGUAAUAAGAGACUUAAAUAGCGAGCAAAUGUGCAGUUAUUUUUCUCGGAUUAGAAAACUUAGAGCUGUUUGUACAUUAUCGGUGCUAGAGGCACACGCAGCCGUUGGCCACGGAAUAAUUCCAGGUUCUCGAUAGCGAUCGCCCGCUAAUUUGCCGCAAUAGAGAACAAUUUGCGGCUCGACCUUUUUCACGCGCGGCGUGCUGCUGCUGCAGCUGCGAGCGUCACGAAAGCACACAAGAGGUGCCCGGAUUUCAUAUGCCGCUUUGGAAAAACUCGAAAGAGUCCGCUCGGCACGUGCGGAAGGCGUCGCAGGGUCAGCCAGAGGAUUCUAAAUCUGCCCCGAGCGCCUUGUCGAAGCGGCCUAUAUUUCCGGAAGCGACAGCGACGAUGAUGCAACCGCGAAGGAGAAACGAAGCAGAUGCAGGUGCGCACUAAUAACGCCACCAAAUAGCAUGUGCAACGAAGAUGAACAAGCUCGUUAGAGUCCUUGGCUCUUUCUCUCGAACUCGUAAACAGUGUAUGAUUAACAUCGUGAACAAAAAUUCGAUGAUUAGGAAAGAUAAAUGCUGGAAAAUUAUUCUCAUCAUGAAUAUACAUUACAUAUUUAAGAUAAAUGUGCGUUGAUACGUUCUAUUAACAAUUAUUUCACUUAAAAUGUCUUUAAUAUCCUUUUUGAUAAUUUUUUGUUAUUUAUCUUUUUUUUCUAUUUAUCUGCAGACAGGGGAAAUAUUGAAAUAUAAAUUUGACGAUAAAGGAAAAAGUGUGCAUGUGCAUAUGAGAAUGCGCGACGCAGUUUAACUGCAAUAAUCGGCGAUACGGCGAUACCUUUUUACAUAUAAACAUUCCGCUUUAUAUAGUAUUACCCUAUAUAUGUUACUAGUAAAUUUGAUCGCACUGUAAUAUCCGGCGUCUCGUGUAAUGUCCGCACGAUCUGCGGCUGGUCUGCGGCAACGAAAAUACCAGCGGAAACGUCGGGACGCUGAAUAAUUAAAGCGGGAAACGUAACAGCGCUUAAGAGAAGCGUGCGUUCGUUCAUCCGACUGUGAAGCAAAGACUCUUGGCUUCGUAUAUUUAGCGCGACAUCGAUUCUUCCUGAAAAGAGACGUCCUGCUCGACGACAGCGUUCAUUAUUCAUCAAACAGCGCUUUGCAGAAGCGGUCUCUUUCUGAAACAGAUCCAAGCACUCCUAGAAAAAAACUUUGAUGAUUUGUUUGCUACUUAAGUGAAGAGGAAAGGUUUCAUUAUUCAUGAAAAGAUUUCAACGAACAGUGAAGAGACAGUUCUUAAUUAUAAUGUUCGAGGAAAUUGAGUUUAUGAUAUUGAUUAAUCAGCUCUUUGUCUCGUUGCAUUCAACAAAUGUAAUGUUGCAAAGCUGCAUAUAUAAAUGUCAUAAAUAGGUCCAUAGGUUUUAAUUAUUCUUAAACAAUUCCAAGACUUUAUCAAGAUUUUACAUUUUCAAUUGUUUUUUGUAUUUUACAAGCUCAGUAUUAUUUUAUCGUAAAUGUAAAUUAAUAAUUCGAUUAAUUGUGGUUUAUAUUACACUGAUAAAAUAAGAUAUAUUACUAAAAAUUUAUUGGGAGUGGAAUGGAAGAAAUACUAUUUUUGUUACUUAUGUUGCAAAUGUGCUUUAUAAUAAUUUGAAUCUGAUCACAUGUAAUAAGAUGUAAUAUGACAUCUGGUAAAGUAGCAUAUUAUUAAAAUCUAAUGAAAAUUCUAUCAUCAGUCGUCGGUAAAACAGAAGUUGAGGAUCUUACUAAUCGUAUGGUAUAGUCGGUUUAUGACUUGUACCCACCAAGUUCUUGCAGUUACAUUAAAAAUUUUAUGAUUAUCCAGCUAAGAUAAUAUUCAAAAUAAUCAAUGAAAUAAGUGAAAGAAUCAAUGAAAGAAAAAACAAAAAAUUUUCAAUCAUAUUAAUAAAAAUUAUAGUUUUAUUAAAUUAUAGUUUUGCAGACUAUAAGUAAACCUAGAUUAAAAUAAAUUAACAUCGAUUAUUGUUCUCAUAUUUAUAACAUACAUCAUGAUUAUUUAAGCUUUUAUCUUUAAUAAUUGUUUAAUAACGCGCGAAUGAUAAAUAAUUUUAAUAUAUUUUAGUUUGUAAAAAGUGUUGAGCUUAUAAUCUGAGAACUUAAAAUCUUGCGUAAAAUCUUGCGUUAUUCUAUUGUAAAAUUUAUCAAAAAAUUGUACAUUAACGGAAAUCGAGGUUUAUAUAGACCAUUUCAAUGUUAAUACGCUAGCUGGAAAUAGAGUAUUUAAAACAGUUCCAGGAAGUACUUUUAAAAGCAAUCAAGUCAGCAAAAAUAGAUACAAAACUUUAAAAUAAACUAUCGUACUUCUGAAAAUUCUUGGCAGUUUAAAGACGGUACCUGAAGAGACAAACCUUUGAGCAAGAUUUAAGAAAAUUUCAGCAUUUAUAUUGCUUGACAAGGGUUAGUUACACUGAGAUUUGCUUUUUAGAAAGGUGUCUCUCAUCUCUGCUACGUACAAAUUAACAAAGACGCCCAACAGUGUCGUACGACAUCUCUAAAGACGUCUUCAGAUGAUCUAUUUUGACUAACUUCUGCUAUUCGGAAAAUUUUCCUGUUUUCCUCUUCGAGGAAAAUACAACGAAUUACUGUUAACCAUCUCGCUGGUGGAAUUUUCGAUGUGGCGGCCGCUGUUUUAUUUAUAGCGGAGGAGGUCGUGAGUACGUUCCAAAAGCUUCUCGACUCAGCAGUACCAUCAGUACAUCCACACCGAGCUCAUCUCACACCGGAUCUCGAAAAUCGUCAUUCAUUGAUAUAUCGGACUUGCAGAUCACAAGAGGAAAAGAAAUUUCCAAAAAUUGCAAUCUAAUUCUUUGUGUCAAUACGAUAACUUGAGUUAUGAAAGUUCGUUGUCUUGAUGACGGAAUUUGAAGCUGUCUGAAGAACAAACACGUGACAUUCGUACCAUCAGCUGGCGUCCGCGCGAGAAUUGACGGACGUCUCGUAUCGAUACACGUCAUCCACGUGGAACGUAUGCGUGUUACGUCGGAUCUGUGUUGGACUGGUUAAAAGGAAGCAAACGAUCGAUCGUGAUAAAUGCGGCUUCGAGUCAGGACUCGCCGUACCUCGCGCCGGAAGUCGAUGGACUGGCAAAGCUGACGAAAACUGUUCCAGUCGAUCCGGAUACGUGUGACAGAUGCAUUCUUCUCUUUAGUGUCAGCGAGCAUUGUUGUAGCUUUGAUCCAUCUUUCUCCGUCCAACUCAUCGUCUUCCAUUCUUGGAUAUGGCACACUUACGACGACCUAUGAGGCGAGAUCAUUACAAGCCGUUCGGAAGAAGAAGGGUAAAUUGAACAUAUUUAUAAUAAUGUUGCUUGUUGUCAGUUAACAAUAGCGUAGCACGACUAAUCGGAUAGAUAUUACCGAUCAUAGAUCUAUAUUUUGGAGACGAGACGCGACAGGACAGGACUCUAAUGCAUCAUCAAAAACCGAAAUAGCAGCUGUGUCCUUCGGCCACCAAAGUCCUCAUAGUUUCAAUAACUGCCAAACGCCUUGGCUGCCGUAAAGUUCUCGCAUCUCCGGAAUAUCGAGGCCGCGAUGUCCAAUACGUAAUUGAUUGACUGGUAAAGAUAUCCGUUUAAAGGAAUUCUAUAAUAACAAAGCGGAGAAACCGCAUGCGUGAAAUGUAGAUCAAUACUUUGUUUAAUAACUGUAAUAUUUCCAUUGGCAAAACGCCACUUAUUCAUAAGAUCGUACCGUAGAAAAUCGCGUAGCAUAGAUACAAGAUCGUACGUGCGUAUAUAAAAGCGAGUUCCAAUUUGAUCAUUUACACUCGCGACCUACUGUAUCGCGGACAUGCGCAUUCCAUCGUUGCAAGCACAAUGCUCUUAAAUUUUAUUUUUGCACUAUGUGACUCCGAUGAAAGAGGGUGCCGUCACACUCGUAUAGUUCGCCGAUUAUUCAUGUAUGAGCUACGAUUUUGAGAUCGAAGCUAUUACCCUCGGAUAUCUAUAGUUCAGAAUCUUCACAUUUCUUCUUUUCUGCAAAAUGCUGGAGUAAUUUGAAAUUUUAUAUCUCUUUCCUUAAUAUAGUAAAUCUAUAAAUUUUACAUUGCAAUUUCUAGAAUUCGUAGGAAGAAAAUGAAAGGUUCUGAGAGUAUCUUGUAAGUCAUGAAUUAUAUCGCUUUAGUUAAUAGAAACAAGACAAUAAAAAGAAACUUAAAAUAUCUGCAAUUAUGUUUGGACUUAACUGCAAUUUAGACUGCAAAACU